rnacentral:RNase_P_RNA from 1 species
AGAGUUGGCGAGGGAAUUGCGGAUUCUUCGGAAUUUGAGGAAAGUCCGGGCUUCCGAAAGACCAAACUUGCUGGGUAAUGCCCAGUGCGUGCGAACGUGAGGAUAGUGCCACAGAAAAAUACCGCCUUAUGAGUAAUAUUCAAUGGCUUUUGCUGUUAAAUAACCGAUUAAGGUAAGGGUGCAAAGGUGCGGUAAGAGCGUACCAGCAGUAUCGUGAGGUGCUGGCUCGGUAAACCCCGGUUGGAAGCAAGGUCGCAGGGAGAAGGGUUGGUCUUUUUCCCCUCCCGUUGUUGGUGGAACCGCUUGAGGGAUUUGGUAACAAAUUUCCCAGAUAGAUAAUUCCCCUUUUUUCGUUAAGAUAGUUUAUCUUUUGAUGGGUUAGGCUUGGCGGCAAAAGAACAGAACCCGGCUUAUGUCUAACUCUCUCU